CCUACCUCUCUGGCUAUUACGUUCUUUCUUGUUUCCCCUGCAGGAUCACCACCACAAAUGUUUAAGCUAAUUCUGCAGAGCUGGAGCCUGAGAUCUAUGAACCCAGGAAGAUGGCUGAAGACUAUGCUGGAUUAACGCCAAAGCAAGGAACCAGGUACUUGCAAAAGUUGAAAGUGAGCUGAGAACUAGGAAAGAAAAUAGAUUAAAUAAGGAGGUAUGAAAAUACAGGAGUCAGGAUUGGUUGAAGGAAGGUUCAGAAGAG
rnacentral:lncRNA from 1 species